AACGAUUUUCUCAAAUCAUACAGUCAAAGAAAGCAUUGCAGUCACAGCAUUCUGAGACUCUGCUCUGAAGAGCAAGGAGGGCUGAUGCUGAAAGCAGGUUGCUUCCAACUCCCUCUGUUAAAGGCAUCUCUCCAACUCGGCAGGUAUUUUUCUCAGCCUACAUCUUCAAUAGCAAUGUCAUGGUGAAGGUGGCCACUCAGCCGGCUGACAAUCCCCUUGACGUUCUAUCCCGGAAGCUCCACCUGGGGCCCAAUGUUGGGCGUGAUGUUCCUCGCCUGUCUCUGCCUGGAAAACUGGUCUUCCCAAGCUCCACUGGCAGCCACUUCUCCAUGUUGGGCAUCGGAGACAUCGUUAUGCCUGGUCUCCUACUAUGCUUUGUCCUUCGCUAUGACAACUACAAAAAACAAGCCAGUGGGGACUCCUGUGGGGCCCCUGGACCUGCCAACAUCUCCGGGCGCAUGCAGAAGGUCUCCUACUUUCACUGCACCCUCAUCGGAUACUUUGUAGGCCUGCUCACUGCUACUGUGGCGUCUCGCAUUCACCGGGCCGCCCAGCCCGCCCUUCUCUAUUUGGUGCCAUUUACUUUAUUGCCACUCCUCACGAUGGCCUAUUUAAAGGGCGACCUCCGGCGGAUGUGGUCUGAGCCUUUCCACUCCAAGUCCAGCAGCUCCCGGUUCCUGGAAGUAUGAUGGAUCACGUGGAAAGUGACCAGAUGGCCAUCAUAGUCCUUUUCUCUCCACUCAUGGUUUGUUUCCUCUUAGAGCUGGCCUGGUACUCAGAAAUGUACCUGUGUUUAA
rnacentral:sRNA from 1 species